UAGGGAUAUAAACCCCAGACAUUAGAGCUGGGAGUGGGCAACCCCCUUUGGGUCCCCUCCCAUUGUAUGGGAGCUCUGUUUUCACUCUAUUAAAUCUUGCAACUGCAUGCCCUUCUGGUCCGUGUUUGUUCCGGCUCGAGCUGAGCUUUCGCUCGCCGUCCACCACUGCUGAAUGCCACCAUCGCAGACCUGCCACUGACUUUCACCCCUCUGGAUCCGGCAGGGUGUCUGCUGUGUUUCUGAUCCAGGGAGGCGCCCAUUGUUGCUCCCGAUCGGGCUAGGGUCUCGCCAUUGUUCCUGCGCGGCUAAGUGCCUGGGUUCAUCCUAACUGAGCUCAACACUAGUUGCUGGGUUCCACGGUUCUCUUCCAUGACCCACAGCUUCGAAUAGAGCUAUAACACUCACCUCAUGGCCCAAGGUUCCAAGGAAUCCACGAGGCCAAGAACCCCAGGUCAGAGAACAAAAGGCUUGCCGCCAUCUUCGGAGCGUCCUGCCGCCAUCCUGGGAGCUCUAAGAACAAAGAUCCACCUGUAACAAUAAGACUUAUUGUCCAGAAGAAGAAUGUCACAAGGUCGAUUGAUCAGUUAAGGGUCUUACUGUUACCCAGGAUGAAGUACUGUGGCAUGAUCACAGCUCCCUGAAGCCUCAACCUCUCCAAGCUCAGUUGGACCGACUGUGACAUUUGGGGAAACCCCACAGAACAGGUGAAGCUCACAAAAUUUCCCUGGGUGUUGCUGCCUUCCUGGAAGCCAGAGCCAAAAAAAAAAAGAGGACAUGCAGAUGCACAUGGGAGGAUUUUGUGGGCCAUGGUUAUCAGGGCACAACCCCUUGGCUCACCUUCCUCUGGUGAGAAAACACUUCCAGUGCCACACCUCAGCCUCCUUCCUCUGGUGAAAAAACACUUCCAGUGCCACACCUCAGCCUCCUUCCUGUGGUGAAAAAACACUUCCAGCGCCACACCUCAGCCUCCUUCCUCUGGUAAAAAACACUUCCAGUGCCACACCUCAGCCUCCUUCCUCUGGUGAAAAAAUAACUUCCAGAGCUACACCUCACCCUCCUUCCUCUGGUGAGAAACCACUUCCAGUGCCACACCUCAGCCUCCUUCCUCUGGUCACAAAACACUUCCAGUGCCACAACUCAGCCUCCUUCAACUGGUGAGAAAACACUUCCAGUGCCACACCUCAGCCUCCUUCCUGUGGUCACAAAACACUUCCGGUACUACACAUCACUGCUGGAGAACUGGAGAGUGGAGUCUUCCAGCCCAAGAAGAAAGAAAUAUAGGAUUUUGUCAAGUACCAGAAGUUUCUGCCACACUCAGUGGGCAUUCUUUGAGUUAGUCUUUUUAGUAUACUUCACUAAAAACUUUGAGAGAUGAACCCCUAAUAUAGGUCCUGCAAAUAACAAGUAUUCAACAAAUCCUGUUGAAUCAAUAAAUGAAUCACCUCUUCCAAAAUAAACUUAAUUUUUUAAGUUACUA